ACAGCACACACAGGCGGUUUCUUUUAAUUUACAAAAGUUCCUUUUAUUUAAGAUCCAGAGCGUGUGUGUUUUUUUUUUAAAUAUAAAAUGACCUGGCUCCGCUUGACAACAAUGCAAAAGGGUGGCGGUAAAUAAAUAAAGCGCUCCAGCAAACAAGGCCUAGUAUGUAAUCCCAUGUCCCUUCCCCCCCUCGGGGGGCAAAAUGCCCCGCCACCUCCUCCCCCCGUCCCCGGGGAGGUUCAAAUGCCAAUAGAUGAACUUAACGUUUGGAAAACCAUUCUACCCAUGAGAAUCCACAUACCCAGCCCGACCGGAUCCAGCUGUGACCCGGAGAUAGGAUCGCCCGCAUAACCCAGCCAAGUAUAAAAGGCAACGGAAGGAAGGGGUGGGUGGUGGGAAGGGGGUAAUUGUAGCAAAUAAAUAGGUGCCCCCCAAUUCAAGCAAUUCUGCUACAGAACUCGUGGAAGUCCUUCUCCAUGAAUAUCUCGCUCUCGAUCACAUCGUCCUCGGAAGGGAAGUACUGCAAGCUCUCCUCCUGGUGCACGUCCGCCAAACCGCCACCGAAAAACCGCAACUGCUGCUGCGACGAGGGCUCACAGUCAGUGGCGGCCGAGGAAGCGGGCGGAGACCAGGAGGAGGAGCGAGGAUCCUCGGCAAAGUCCAUCAGCGCCCCCCGGGAGUUCUCUAGCACCCCCAGGUAGGAGUCCAUGUCCAGCGGGUCCAUCUCACUGUCCGACCCGCCGCUCUCGGUGCCCACCGAGUCCGACCGCAGGUGCAUGAGCUGGUACUUCUCCCGCAUCAGGAACUGGUUGGUGUUACGGGGGGCCCGCAUGCCCGGGGCUCGCUUGCCCAUCAUGUUGACGGGCCGCAGAGAGAGCAGCACCCUGGGGCGGGUGGGCCGAUAGCACCGCUGGGAGGCCCUGCAGUGCUGCUGCUGCUGGUAAUGGGCGUGCGUCCUGCUGCCCAAAAGCCUCCUGGAGAAGGCGGGGGUCCUUCCACGCCAGCUGUGGUGCCAGCGACCCCUGCUGCAGCCCCUCCGGGGCGCUCCCUCCUUCAGCUGCUGCUGGUAGGCUUCCGGCACCUCUUCCUCCUUCCCAGCCCUGGCAGGCUCCCAGAGGGCACCCCUGGCUCCUGUGCCACACGUGAUCAGCUCUUCUCUUCUCAACAUAGUAACCCUCUCACAUACUCUUUGCAGCCCUGGACAGCUGCCAACCACCCCCAAAGAAGCAAAUUCAAUGUCGUCGUCUUCUUCUUAGCGUUUCCCCCCCCUUCUGGGUUGGCUUGUUCGUUGCUGGUUUGUGAAGCACUGCGGUUUCCCCCCAGCCAAAGGGGCUUUCCUGCUGCCUCUACCUUUUCACAAUCCGCUCUGUUUUUUUCUUGACCAGAGCCCUUUGACAGUGCAUAGCCUGGCUGAGCUGCUGCAGGCUGGGGGGCAGUUUGACCAGUUUUAGGCUGCUGCCUAGAAGAGAUUAUCUCGCCUCCUUCUGUAGCAGAUGGUUACUCCGGUGCAAACCGCUACAGAAUAACAACUGCUUAGGACUGGGGGUGUGUUUGACAAAAGGAGCAGGGGAGAGAAGCAGGGAGGUCGCGUCGGACGCUCUUUGCCGUUCCCUGUCUAGUUGCACAGCCCCGAGAAAACAAACACACACCACCCUCCGGGUUUUGCUUGCUGACUCCUUUUUAGUGCUUCUCCAGUCCACACCCCCUUAUGUACAGGACAUGGAGCAGUCCAAAAGCAACCAGUGUGGAGGGGGUGUGUGCAUCAGCGGAUAAUUUUUCCUUCCAAACCCUUGCAUCGACAUGCAAAACCGACAUGCUGCAUGCCAGGCAAGGAGGAAUGCGUCUGCAUGCGGUGUCGGUGCUGUUUUCUGCUUCUCCCCCUACAUUUUUUGCAUUUACACAAUAUUGGUUUGGUCCAACUCCAGGCGAGUUAUUCUGUGUGAUUUCCAUGCACAACGCUCGCCUACGCCCGGAUUUUUUUGCGCAGCUCCACCCCGAGCUUGCCUUGGUUGCAUCGGAUACGUAAAGUGCUUAACGGCCGGUGGAAGCACAAACAAGCGCUUGAGUGACGUGUUGCUCAGAGGAAAAGACUGGGUGGUGCCUAGGCAAGUGAAUGGCUGCGAACUGGCAGGAGAGACAGCUAGCAGGGGAACCCUGGGUCUAGCUGCACACUGCAGCUGUGUUUGCAAAGGGUUGAUAUGCUGGAGGGACAGUGUGUGUGAACGCUUUUCAGCUUUCCCCACCCCUUGUAACUCCUUGCAUGUGCGGUCUGGAUGGUACACCAGCAAUAAUUGGAGAUGGGGAAGCGGCCAUCCUGCCACUGGAAGUUGAGGAAAGAGGCGUGGGGUGAUUGAUCGUGGGCAUUUGAGCUGUGGGUUCUCGUUUAGUUUUAUUGGUGGGCGUCCAAGACGCUCGCCUCUCCCCCAACAUCAGCUGUUUGGACUCUGGGAGAUCCCUACACAUUGCUCACUGAAGCUCUUCGUCCUCUUCCCACCAGAACCAUUGUAACAAAUCCUGUGCGUUUUACAUCUCAGAAAAAAGCAAAGGAUUUUUAAAAAUAUCCAGAGGGCAAGUCUGUCUAACACUCUUUAGCGGGCCCGGCCCGAAGUUCGGCUUAAUAGCUGUAGAGAAAUGAUCAGGAAGACCCUUCCUCAUUUCGAAAGGUCCGGAAUAAAAUUGCAUAUUCUAGUGUAAAAAAAAAAAGAACACUAACACAAGAUUGAUCUCGUUCACGAAACAGCAGUAGCAAGGGGAGUAUGGGGGGAGUGAAGGGAGGAGUUGCAGGGGCCUGGCGCAGCACUGUCCAUACACAUUCAAUUUCUAUUUGACUACAAGGGGGCGGAGUGGAGGACUGGGGAGGAUCCGUUCGCAAGGGACGUGCUGGAUUUGUUCUACAGCCCUUGUUUACAGCCAUCAUGUUUAGCCAGCCCCCUUCUCUCCCCGCCAACAGACAGACACCCUGACCCUCCCCCCGUCUCAUCGGCUUUUGGGGUGGGGGUGGGGGGUUAGGGAGGAGGAGGAGGAUUUAAGGGCUGUGCAAACAAAUUGUUAUCUCAAGAACUCUGCUGGAAUAUUCAAAUAGUUAACUAUUUGCAUCGUGUUCCUUAAUGCAAUUUAGUAACCUAGUGUAUUAAUUAAAAUACUUACAGAUUAUGCCAGAUGGAUAUGCCAAUAGCUGGAGGAGUGCUGAGCACCUAUUUACGUCAGGAGGAACAGUAGAUGUUUAACAUUUGAAAAUCAGCCAGGAACUGUUUUUCACCCUGGAUCUAGUACCCUCCCAACCCACCGAAGGCAGGCUCCGGGACCUAGAAGGCGGAGAAGGGACCUCUGCUGCAAAUGUUUCAUCGCUCCAUGUAUCAUCUCCGUCCCAGAGGCUGUCAAAGAUUAGAAGC